AACUUUAUUUGAAACAAAGCAAACAGCCUGAAAAUCAGUGGUAAAUUGAGUUUCCUGCUAUGGCAGAUAAAUGAAUAGGGAAGAUUUAUGUAUUUAAAUCUAAUCCACUUGGUCCCAUAACUCUACACUGUAACAGUACUACAUUAUUUGAAUUACUUUAUUUAAACCCAUUUAUGCAAGUGCCAACCAGAGUUCAGUUUGUCCAUGCUGUUUGUGUGCUGGACUGAGAAGGAUAAUGAGCAAGCUCUCUAGGUCACUGUACACCUAACAUUUGGAUUCUUCAUGAAGUGGCAUGUGUACAACUCGCCAGCUUUCACUGGAAGGAGAUCAAUUAUAGAUUUUGGCUUUACUGGACACAAGCCCAACAAAUCCUGAUAAUCUACUGUGAAAACGGCAAUGACUCAACAGUGAAACAGUCAACAAGAGUUUAAAAUGAACUGUAUAGUGUAAACAGUGGUAAUGUGUUUGAACCGAGCACACAUCUAACACGCUGCUUCAAAUUAAUUCUUCCUGCUCAUUUUAAUCUUUUGGAAAUAUAUGAAAACACCAGAAUGAAAGCGAACGUGCCACUGGUGUCCAUGUAAUCUCCACACUGGUGAAAGCAAACAAAAUAGAUAUAACCAGAAAAGACUUACCUGGCAGAUGGGCCUGAGAAAAUAGCAUUUCAGUUAAUAUGAUUUGUGGAUGGAACUUAUUUCCGGGACCAUUUACACACUUGAAAGUGUGCCAUAAAAUAUUCAUAAUGCUUGUAGCAGAGAAAGAAAAUCUGUCUCUUCAAUUACAGAGACAAUUUUUAUGCAUGAGAUUUGCAAACAAGUUUACCACAUAUACCUGCUACAGUUGGAUACAAUGAUUUAGUCCCAUUCAUCAUCCCAACCAUCUGGAUGACAUGGGGGUGGAGGACGUAGCACCGGGGACGGGAGCCGCCGAGAGGAAGGGUUUGAGGUUAUACACACUUCUAUGCUCUAUUUACUGAGUGACAUUUACACAAUGUUUUACAAAAGGGUGAGCUGAGGUUAGCUACUGAGAUGCAUCAUGCUGUUCUUCAGAUGUCAUACAGAGCUUCGUUAUGCGGUGCUCACUGUUUGAGGAUCAACUCAAACAUGAAUCAAUAUGUAGAAUUAGCCUUUUCCUUCAAAUGAAACUUUGGAAAAUUUUUAAUGUGCCAAAUAUGCUUUUUGGUAAAUGUCCCAGUGAUCAGAUGGGCACAAAAUGACCAUUAUAUGAGCAUAAUCCUGCAAUGAGAUGUGACACAUUUCACAUGGCAUGGGAAAAACAGGCUAAAGACACAGACCUAGAGAGGAUCUCCAUCCAUUAUCCAUCCAGGUCAGGGAUGUGGGGCCUAUCCUAAUGUCACUGGGUAAGAAACAUAAACUGUAUAUAGCUUAGUUUGCACGUUUCCUCUCCUUUCCUCAUCCCUCUCCUCGUGUCUUAGUCCAUCUUCAAAGGAGGAGGAGACAAAAAGGAGAGAGAGCAGUCAAGGCAACUAAUAUUUAACAAAAUGAGACAGCCUUGCUUUGAAAACUAGUUUUAAAGCGGCGUCAAAAGAAUAUGAAGUUUGGCACAGAUGCUUCAUAAACUGUUUUGUCAUAGCCAGAAAAUGCUCUGUUUAAUCAUCUCAGAUAUAACAGUUUUUAGCAUCCUCACAGUGACACUUUUUACCCUAUAUUUAAGGCUGGUUUUAUUAAAUUCACAGAAUUCGCAGUCUGACAGCAAAUCUUACAGUUUUGAUCAUCUUAUAUAACAGAUUCAAGUUAUGGAUACAAAGUUUAAGGGGAUAUAAGGCAAUAUACAAACUCCCAUCACAGUUUGUAUAUUGCUGAUGUGUGCUAUGACUCUUUUACACAAUGAAGGUAACAAACUUUUCCACAAAGGAAACGUCUGUGCAUCCUUGAUUAUAGCUCCUCUGCCAAGCCUUUUCUCUCUUUUUCUGAUGCAUUUUAGGAAGUCAGACACCUAUCAGCAGAGCGUAUUGAGACUGAUUUCCAGGACAUAGACAGGAAGACAGAGAACAGAGGAAAAAAGAAGGCACACAUUCAAGAAAUUCCUAUCGAGACAACCAUUCACACACUCACAUUCACAUCUACAGCCGAUUUAGAAUCAGCAAUUAACUGAACAGGCACAGCCUUUGAGGGGAAGCUGGAGAGAACCCACAGAGUAAAGAACACGCUGCACACAGGAAGCCCCAAAACCAGGACAUUCUUGCUGUGAGGCAACAGUGAGCACCGUUAUGAUGUUAGUACCUUUGUGCAUGGUUCAUUUUAGUCAACAGAACAUAUUCAUGUUACAUUUAUUAAGGUUCUAUCUUAUAUUUGAUAUUUUCUAUAAUAUAAUCACAGGUUAUUAUACAUCUUUUAUGUCUUUUAAGCAUUUUGACACAACUCCUGCCAUCUUUGUGCACAGUUGCCAUGGUUCCUACUGUUAUUUUUAUCUUUUGCAAGGUUAGUGGAAAACUGUCUUUUCUCUGCAGUGUUACCACAGACUAUCACCAGUAAGAGUCUGUGAAAUCCAGUUAAAUCAUCAGUAAAUCCAGGGCGCUGUCUGGGUGUUUGGGCCAUCCUGUACUCCACGCCCAUGCAAAACUCACCUGCUGCUCAUCUCUGCUAAUUGCUUCAGGCAGUACUUAAGGCCUUGGUGGAGUGUUGGUCCUCAGUGGAUCGUUGUACUUACUUCCACCUUGGACCUGCGCCUGGCUUCCCUGGACCCUACCUGGAUGAGCAAGAGUGUGAGUGAGGCACGGCGUGGAUUUUGCAAGCAUUGCCUGUUCCCCAGUUGCUUGAAGUACAUGGACUUGUCCCUCAUUGUGAAUCUCUCUUUUGGUUUGAACGUGUGUGAGUGGGCAGGUCUUACUUUGUCAGAGGUUUUCCUGGAUGCAUGUACUCUCAGCAGUUC